CCAGCAUCCGCCUGGCACCUGACACCUCCCUGCUAGCCAGUCCCAGAGAGCUCUUUUCCUCCAGACUAGCUGGGGCUGGAACUGCUUAGAAUCGGACCCAGAAGAGGCCGAGUUCCGUCCAGGACUAAAGGCAGCCUCCAGGGAAUAAAGCUGUCAGUGUGGGCGCAGACUAGGGAAGGGGCACUAGGUCGUUCAAGCUGAAUGCUGGGGUUCCACAGCCUCCUCACACCCCCUUUAGUGCCUCAGGUAGAGUAGGCUUGUGGGGACACUGAGGUUUCCUCAGGUCCUUUCCCUGCUCAAUAACUCUCCAUGGCUCGCCACUACCCACUGCAUAAAGCCCUAACUCCUAUACCUGGCAUUUGGGAGCCUCUGUGAUUCCACUUCUUCAGUCUCUUCUCCUCCCUAAGCCCCCAUGCCCCAGCCACAGGGGCUACUUAGGUGCCCCUCCUGCUCCCCUUUCCCCUUGCACCCAAACCUUCUCUGCUCAUGUGCUAUUUCCUGGGGCCUUCUCUAGGGCUCAUUCCCUAGUUGGAGUUAAAUUCUGCUUCCAAGGAAUCAGCCACCCAAAUAACAAACCAGUCCACCUGAGAAUCUAGUCUGUGAUGCAGCGUCAAUAGCUUCUGAUGAAUUUGCUUCUGACCAGUAGCCUCCAGGGGUCAUAAAACAUUCACAGAGAGGAACACAGAGAAGAUGUGGGUCUUCAGGCUCAGAGAAGAGAAGGCAUUGUUUGCCCAUGAAUGUUUGCAAGUAAAUAGCAGAGCUGGGACUCAAAGAGUCCGGAUCUGGGGCUCCAUCAUGAAUCUCUAAGAGUGGCCCAGAGAUUCUCACGUUCCCUAGUCAUUCACCCACGUGCCUCAGCUGCAGAACCUGUCCUCAAGGUGCUCACAGGCUGAGGGAAGGCAGACAGAGGACAAGUGGCAACCUACAAAACACCAAAUGGUAAAGGAGAGAAAGAUUUCCACUUGGGAGAACCAGGGACACUUCCCGGAGGAGGAAGGACCCAUGGUGCUUUUUGGCAUGGUGAGGUCGGGGAGGGCUUCCCAGGCAGAGGAGACAAGCUGAGCAAAUGUGUGGAUGUGAGUUGCUGGUGUGAGGGGCGAGGCUGAGCGUGUAAACUGGUGCCAUGAAGAAGGACCGUGAUGGCCAGGCUUGGCCCUUACUCCCUCCAUGACAAUUUCAGACAGAUGAGCAGGAGAGUGGCAGGGUGCAGGACUGGAGGACAAAAGACCAGAGGAGAUGGAGGCCCUGCAGACAGCAGGG
rnacentral:lncRNA from 1 species